rnacentral:rRNA from 1 species
GAAAGUUUUCGGGAUCGCGGCGACGCCGGCGGUUUCCCGCCGGUGUUGUUGGAAGAAAUUCAUUAAACCUUAUCAUUUAGAGGAAGGAGAAGUCGUAACAAGGUUUCCGUAGGUGGACCUGCGGAAGGAUCAUUG